rnacentral:rRNA from 1 species
AGAGUUUGAUCCUGGCUCAGGAUGAACGCUAGCUACAGGCUUAACACGUGCAAGUCGAGGGGAAACGACAUCGAAGCUUGCUUUUGAUGGGCGUCGACCGGCGCACGGGUGAGUAACGCGUAUCCAACCUGCCCAUCACUUGGGGAUAACCUUGCGAAAGUAAGACUAAUACCCAAUGACGUCUCUAGAAGACAUCUGAAAGAGAUUAAAGAUUUAUCGGUGAUGGAUGGGGAUGCGUCUGAUUAGCUUGUUGGCGGGGUAACGGCCACCAAGGCGACGAUCAGUAGGGGUCUGAGAGGAGGUCCCCACAUUGGAACUGAGACACGGUCAAACUCCUACGGAGCA